CCUACGGGCGGCAGCAGUGAGGAAUAUUGGUCAAUGGACGAGAGUCUGAACCAGCCAAGUAGCGUGAAGGAUGACUGCCCUAUGGGUUGUAAACUUCUUUUAUAAAGGAAUAAAACGAGGCACGUGUGCCUUUUUGCAUGUACUUUAUGAAUAAGGAUCGGCUAACUCCGUGCCAGCAGCCGCGGUAAUACGGAGGAUCCGAGCGUUAUCCGGAUUUAUUGGGUUUAAAGGGAGCGUAGAUGGGUUGUUAAGUCAGUUGUGAAAGUUUGCGGCUCAACCGUAAAAUUUCAAUUGAUACUGGCAGUCGUGAGUACAGUUGAGGUAGGCGGAAUUCGUGGUGUAGCGGUGAAAUGCUUAGAUAUCACGAAGAACCCCGAUUGCGAAGGCAGCUUACUAAACUGUGACUGACAUUGAUGCUCGAAAGUGUGGGUAUCAAACAGGAUUAGAUACCCUUGUAGUC
rnacentral:rRNA from 1 species